rnacentral:tRNA from 1 species
GAGGGUAUAGCUCAGUGAUAGAGCACGUGCUUGGCAUGCAUGAGAUCUUGGGUUCAAUCCCCAAUACCUUCG